AUGCCUCGUGCCACAGUGCCCUCCAGUGACAUCCGCCGCCCGUGGACUGCGGCAGGGUGUGGGCAUCCGGCGGAGGGGAGGCGGCGAGGCGUCGGGCCGUUGGGGGUGCCCUGGCUGCGGCCAGGUCCAGGGGCGUGGGGUGGCUCCCCCCCAAUGUACAGCCGCUUCUUGAUGAGCGAUCGGCCCCCGGGGCAGCCACGCUCCAGGACAUGUGGGAAGGCCAGGCCAGGCGGCCGCCCCAGGUCCUUGAGAACCGAGGGAGCAGGGUUGUUGCUGAACUCGGGCGGCGGCGGAAUGACCUCAAAAGUGAACUCCUCAGCCUCAGCCUCAGCCUCAGCCUCCCGCCGCCUGCAGAAAGGUGAGGGUGGCGACGACAGGGACCUGGGGAGCAAGGGGUCCUGCGGGAGGCUGGAGGGGAUGGGCCUGUCCCAGGUCCCCCCGGGUGCAGGGCGCUGCAUCGUGGUCCACCAAGGCCGCGAGGGCGGCUCUGCGCCCUCUGGGGACUUCUGCUCGCUGGGCAGCAGGGUGACCUUCUCCACCUCCUUGGGUGACUUGGGGACCACGGUGAAGGAGCUGGGCUUGCCGUCCGUGGGGAAGACGCUGUCAGACUUGGGCUCCGGCAGGCCGCCACAGCCUCGAAUGCUUCCAGGCAAGGACCGCCCUUGGGCAAGCCCUCCAGGCCUCCCCUUCUGAGCCCGCUUCCGGGCUGCCAGGAGCAGGGCCAUAGGGGACCCGCGCUGCGGGCUGGGGUGUCCUGGGGGUCGUAGUCCACCGGGGGGAGGGCCAGGGUGGGACCCUUCUCGGGGACCCCCGGGGGCAUCUUCUCAGGCAGGAUCCGGGGCACUGCCUCUGCUGGGGGACUUGGGCCCUUCUUGCCCUCCUUGUCCUGAGCAGCCACCGUGGGGCCCGGCCUGUGACGGAGGGCUCUGUCCUCCUUCCUGGGGCCACACAGAUAGGCUGCCAGCUGGCUCCGCAGCUGCUCCAACUGGCUGGGGUCGCGCCAGUCUGCUGGCUCUGAGGAGGCCUCGGGCGCCGGUGUGGGGAGUUUGGGUUUGCACUUGGGUGUGGGUUUGAGAGUGGGCAAGCUGGAUUUGGGGUGCUUUGGGAAUGCAGCAGCUGGAGGGGCAGCCUGUACAACAGAAGGCUGUGGAGGGGGAAGUGGGGGUGCAGGAGGGGGUGGAGGACGGGCAGGGGGUGGAGG
rnacentral:lncRNA from 1 species